UACGUAGGGCGCGAGCGUUGUCCGGAAUUAUUGGGCGUAAAGAGCUCGUAGGCGGCCGGUUGCGUCUGCUGUGAAAUCCCGGGGCUUAACCCCGGGCGUGCAGUGGAUACGGGCCGGCUGGAGGCAGGCAGGGGAGACUGGAAUACUUGGUGUAGCAGUGAAAUGCGUAGAUAUCAAGUGGAACACCAGUGGCGAAGGCGAGUCUCUGGACAUUUCCUGACGCUGAGGCACGAAAGCCAGGGGAGCAAACGGG
rnacentral:rRNA from 1 species